CCAGAUUAAUUUUUUUUUAUAUGAUCCUAAUUUAUGAUAAAUGAUAUCAGACUCAAUCCAACUCAUAAUCUUUGUAAGACUGAGGAACACUACAAUAUGACUCCAUUUAGAUUGAUCAUAAGCUAAUCAUGAUGUUUGUCAUUAGAUUUAAAUAAAUUUAGAUCCUUAAUCUAGUAACGACCUCAGGACUUUAACGAGAUAAAUAUGUGAGGUCCUGGGUGUUAGAUGUAUUCCCUAAAAG
rnacentral:lncRNA from 1 species